GCAUUGCUACACACCUUCACGUUUUUCUUUUCAAUACAAUAGAGUGUGAGUGCUAAUAAACGUACAAAAAUCACUUUUCAUCUAUACCAUAAUUCAUAUUAACAUCUUAGUUUUUGCUCUAGAGCUCUGCCGUCAUUUGAUUUUAAUAUGAAAGAGUUGUUGAUGGCCUAAGUUUUGCUCUAGAGCUAUGGCUUCAUUGAUAUUAACAUCUUAAGUUGUUUGCACUUUGCAUGGCCGGAUUUGUUGAUCUUAACACUUUGUUGCAAAUGUUUCUAACUUUAACAUUUGAUAUCAAAAUCAUAAUUUACCAUUAUGGUGUAUUAUCACCUUGAUGCUCUGACAUUUAAUAAUUUAAUUAACAAAAUGUUCCUCUGGGAGAGGGUAUAUUUGGCAAGAGAUUAUAUUUUAUCCCAGUAAAAUCUCUAAAAUUAUAUUUUUAAACUAAGUGUAAUUAAGGAUAUGAGCAAUUACACUAAAAUCUUCUAUACAUGGAGUAUUAUAUUUAUAUGUCUUGCUCUAUUAAGAUCUCGAUUUAUAAAUAAAUUAUAUAAUUAUGUCUCGUCCACUAACCAUUGUUUUUCUUUGCAUUAAACAAAUAAAUUAAAAAAUUAAGUAACAAUAAAUUCAGAUAUUUGAAAUAUUUGAUCUCAAACAUCAACUAUUCUAUCACUAAUAUCAACACAAACACACAAGAAUCCAAUUUUGCAUGGUCUAAUUAAGAGAGUGAAACAUCACACUUGAUAACUAACACGUAG
rnacentral:lncRNA from 1 species